GGGUUGUGAGGUUAAGCGACUAAGCGUACACGGUGGAUGCCCUGGCAGUCAGAGGCGAUGAAGGACGUGCUAAUCUGCGAUAAGCGUCGGUAAGGUGAUAUGAACCGUUAUAACCGGCGAUUUCCGAAUGGGGAAACCCAGUGUGAUUCGUCACACUAUCAUUAACUGAAUCCAUAGGUUAAUGAGGCGAACCGGGGGAACUGAAACAUCUAAGUACCCCG
rnacentral:rRNA from 2 species